UUCUUGCCUUUAUUUUCCUUCCCUCUUUUUAUUUUUUUUGGUUGUUACUGGGGACUCAAAACAGCCUCAGUUAAAGAUGCCUUGGUUUUCCUUUUGUGACGCUGCCUGACGAUACCUGUGCAAACAGGCCAUGGUUAGUGCAGGAGUGUUCAGCCUUCGUCCCGAGAUACAGGUAAUGACUCACUCGGUAACAAACCCCACACAUAUUCUGUCCAUGUUUCCUUGACACUGAAUCUGAAUAUUGGUUGCUAUUUAAAAAAGUACAAUGUUCGAUUUGUUGACUUAAUCACAAAACAAAACACAUGAAUGGAAACACUCAUUUACGUGACUAUUGCUUAUACACCUAAGAUGAAGAGUUGACUACAAAUGGCCACACGUAGUUCCUUAAUGAGAGAGAGUGUGUUCUUACUAAGACCAUGCCAAGGCAGAAGAACACUGUAGACUGAAACAUACUGUGCUUGAAUUCACCUUUAGGCUAUGGAGAAGGCUGUAUGGGGGGGGGCACAGGGUGGGGAUUUGAGUAGCUGAAAUCUGAGGGGUUUGCCUGUGUUACAAUACACACAGUUUAUAUAUGGAGGAGUCCUGAGGCUGACACUGCUGCUCUUUAAGCUGCAGUGCUUUCUUCUUAAAUUGUAUACUGAUAAAACCAUUUUUGUAUGUAUAUCUUCAUUACAAUGCACACAUUGUGGUGUGAAAGGGCUUCUCUAGAGGAAUAUGUAAACUGUUUAAGAGAAUUUCUGUAUGUGAUAAUUUUAUGGGUAGUAAAUAGAGUGUUUCUGUUAAAUAUUUGUAUAACAAGCUAUAUUUUGGUAAUAGAAGAAAUAUCUAAUUGAUAUAAAUAGUUGAAAUGCAGAACUGUAAAAAGAAUUUAGAGAACAGUUAAUGAUACAAACCAAAACCUGUUUCUCAAAUUUUCCUUAAUCAUGUUUUUUAAUUCAAGAUUUGAAACUGAAUUUAAGGCUCUAGGAAAUGGAUUUCAUUCUUUUUUAAUCAAAUAGCUUGUAAUUCAUUGAGGACUUGUCAACUCUGAAACCUUAUAAAUAACCUCAUGCAUUUUCUCUGCAUACUCUGUCUACCUACAGCUGUAGGCAUAAGUUUAAAAACAUCUGGUUGACCCCAGGUGUGUGUGUUUGUAUCUGGUUUUGGAUGUGGGUGGGAUAGAGAGCUGAGGGAACAGGGUAUCCAAAUGACCUAAAUGCAUCUGAAAUUCAGCUAAUAUUUCCAGCCACUGUGGUCUAUUGUAACAGAGGGUUGUGAUGUUGAAGAUAAGGCUAUGGUUAGGAUUUUGCCUGAGGUGGUGCUGUCUUAGGGGGGAAGGUGAAAGCACAUGAUUUUGACAGCCAGUGUCCUCAAUUUUCUAAUGGCAAGUCGGGUCAGAUGCUGUGCUUGUUGCUUGGAAUGCUGCAUCUUUGUGCCUUCAGUAGCGUUUGGGUCAGGCCUCAAAAAUCCCACACUCCCCCUCAUUUCACAAUAAACCAACCAGGCCAGAGGAGUUUCUCCUCCCUCAUUGAUGUUUUUAAGUGAAGGCUGUUUGUUUUUUUCCACAUACAUGGUAAAUCUGGAUAGAAAGCAUUUAACAGUGUGCACUAACAAACUUAUACAACAUAUACAUUACAUAUAUAUAUUUAUAUAUAUAGAAUGUUCUAUAUACAAACAUAUACAACGUUUUAGAUCUCUACAGACUACAAGAAAAUUGAUAAUUAUAGUCACAAGUGGUGAACUUAACAGAAAUAGUAAGUUGUAAUUGUCUGGAAAGAUGUAAAAUACGUAAGAGUGGAAAGCAAGAUACAGCUGUGACCUGCUGGGGAGUGCUAGGGGAAGGUUGCUUCCCAGUUUGCUAUUAAAAAGUGUCAGUUUGAGGGAUGCUAAAUUCUCAUUUCUCUGUUGCAUAAAAAAUGGAAAUCUACUGGCAGGUUCCCCCCUCUCCCCGGUGUUAAGCUCCAGCCGGGUCGCAGCCAGGGGCAGUCAGGCUCUGUGUAAAAGACUUGCUGAAGUCACUUCUCUCGGGGUGUGCUGCAGUGAUCAGCAAUUAAAAGUUGCUCUUUAAUUUUGAGCUGUGAUGCUCAAACCAGUGACCAGCUCAGGCUCCAGCCUGGAGCCGUUCCCACUGAACUCAGUGUUAACCACACACGUGAGGUACAGCUGAGAACUGACACGGAACCAGCAGCUUCCUUGUCACUGAAGUGAGCCACGUGCCACCACUCCCAGGGCUGCCUCCUGCACACCAGCUCGUGGUGGAAACCAGCUGUACAAGGGCCAUGCUGGACCCGGUGACAGCCUUUCUGUCUGCACCAGCUCUGCAGAAGCAGACAGACCAAAUGCUGGUGGGAUGGCCUUGGUGUGGUGUCAGUGAAGACUGCUUAGCUCCUUUGUAAAAGUGGAGAAGGCAGGAAGAAUAAGGGCUUGAAAGCUGGUUAGAGGGUUUGAAUGCUGCCCCAAAUGAUUUUGUUGCCCAGGGACUAGUGGGUUUGCAGUAUAGGCCAGAGUGCAGGAAGGCAGAAUGUACAUUUAAACAGAAGAUAGAAUUGCUAUAAUGUUGUGAUUUAUUUCUCAUUCUAGAGAAUGAGAAAGCAAUAAGGAAUAAAUGUGCUUCCUCACAGACGCAAGUGGCCAGUUCUGUGACCCAGUUGCUGCCAGUAGUUCCCCAGUUCCUGUUGGCAUCAGGAUGCUGCAGGUUGGGGACUUAGAAACCAAAUGAGCCACUUUGAAGCAGAAGCAAAUGAUGUUUAGCAGCGUGAGCAGAACAUCAAGUGCCGCUCACCCAUGGUGUCAUUUAUAGAUGUGUUAUAUGUGUAUGUUCCUAAUUGGUUUCCAUGCUCCUUCCCCAGCCCAUAAUUUAGUCUUGUUGCUGUGAUCUUUGCCCCAGCCCUAGCGGGGGGGUUACCAUGCAGUUUCCUUUAGCAUAAUUUCAACUGACCGCUGAAGAAGAAUCACUGGUGCUGCUAAGCUGCUAAGCAGCUUCUGCCAGCAGAACUUGAGAGGGCUGCGCUUCCCCAUCUUGCCUUUCCUCACUUGGAAGACACCAUUUCCUAAGCUGGUUUGCUAUUCCUGUGACUGGGAAAUAAGGCAACCAAGUGACGCAGAUGCCAUGGGAAUGACAACUGCCAUAGCCCCCUUCAAGGACAACUGAGAUGAAUCUAGAGCACAUGUUAAAAGUACAGAUAAGGAUGACAUGUCGUGCUCUGAAUUGCAAAUAACCCUUCUAUGCUCUUGUUUUCAUGACAUUUCAGGUAGUGCCUGUCUCGCUACUUGAAAAAAAUCUGUAAAUUUUGGGCAUAGGAUUUUGAAUUUAUUUAUUCUUCUGGUAGGAGUUAGAGAGCACUGAUUUCAAGCAAGGGUUUUCAAGGGAAAGAAAUAGCAGAUAAGAAAAUGCAGCUCAACUCAUUUUUAUGUUGAAAACAGUAGCGAACAUGCUUGAAAUGUACUGGCUUUUUGUAAUGUCACUUUUAAAAAAUAAAGAUUUUUGCCAUUUAA